CUAGCCUGCAGUCGAGCGGCAGCGGAAAGUACCUUGCUACUUUGCCGGCGAGCGGCGGACGGGUGAGUAGUGUCUGGGAAACUGCCUGAUGGAGGGGGAUAACUACUGGAAACGGUAUCUAAUACCGCAUAACGUCGCAAGACCAAAGAGGGGGACCUUCGGGCCUCUUGCCAUCAUAUGUGCCCAGAUGGGAUUAUCUAGUAGGUGGGGUAACGGCUCACCUAGGCGACGAUCCCUAUCUGGUCUGAGAGGAUGACCACCCACACUGGAACUGACACACGGUCCACACUCCUACGGGAGGCAGCAGUGGGGAAUAUUGCACAGUGGGCGCAAGCCUGAUGCAGCCAUGCCGCGUGUAUGAAGAAGGCCUUCGGGUUGUAAAGUACUUUCAGCGGAGAAGAAGGCGUUGAGGUUAAUAACCACAGCGAUUGACGUUACCCGCAAAAGAAGCACCGGCUAACUCCGUGCCAGCACCCGCGGUAAUACGGAGGGUGCAAGCGUUAAUCGGAAUUAGUGGGCGUAAAGCGCACGCAGGCGGUCUGUCAAGUCAGAUGUGAAAUCCCCGGGCUCAACCUGGGAACUGCAUUCGAAACUGGCAGGCUAGAGUCUUGUAGAGGGGGGUAGAAUUCCAGGUGUAGCGGUGAAAUGCGUAGAGAUCUGGAGGAAUACCGGUGGCAAACGCGGCCCCCUGGACAAAAGACUGACGCUCAGGUGCGAAAGCGUGGGGAGCAAACAGGAAUAAAUACCGUGGGUAGUCCCACGCCCGUAAACGAUGUCCACUUGGAGGUUGUGCCCUUGAGGCGUGGCUUCCGGAGCUAACGCGUUAAGUCGACCGCCUGGGGAA
rnacentral:rRNA from 1 species